CCAAUAGCGUAUAUUAAAGUUGUUGCAGUUAAAAAGCUCGUAGUUGAAUUUCGGGAUCAAUAUAACGGUCAUGCCGUUGGUAUGCACUGUUAUAAUUGAUUUCUCACCUUCUAAAGAACCGUAAUGCCAUUAAUUUGGUGUCACGGGGAAUUAGGACUGUUACCUUGAAAAAAUUAGAGUGUUUAAAGCAGGCUCACGCUUGAAUACAUUAGCAUGGAAUAAUGAAAUAGGACAUCCGAUUCUAUUUUGUUGGUUUCUAGGAUCGAUGUAAUGAUUAAUAAGGAUAGUUGGGGGCAUUAGGAUUCAAUUGUCAGAGGUGAAAUUCUUGGAAUUAUUGAAGACUAACUACUGCGAAAGCAUUUGCCAAGGAUGUUUUCAUUAAUCAAGAACGAAAGUUAGGGGAUCGAAGACGAUCAGAUACCGUCGUAGUCUUAACCAUAAACUAUGCCGACUAGGGAUCGGAUGAUGUUAAUUUUUUAAUGACUCAUUCGGCGCCUUACG
rnacentral:rRNA from 1 species